GGAAGCUUCUCAUUUUAACUGCCUUCUUGGGAACUUGUGCCUUUCUCAUUUACCUCUGGAGAACCAUCCUCGCUAUAAAGCCUCGACAAUAUGAAGUUACUUUAGACCAAAUCAAGAUGAAGAUUAAUGAUUUUAAAAACGAAAACAGGGAUCUUGAAAAAAACAUAGCGAGUUGGGAGGAGAAGGCCAGGGAAGCAAAGAAGCAAGAAGAAACAAAAAGAGAACAUAAGUGUUCCCUUGCUGGAGUACGUAUAUUAAAAGCCCAAGAUGCACUGGCGGAUCAAGAGCUGAGAGCCUUGACAUCAAAAAACGAAGAACUGAAAG